UUAAGUUCAGCGGGUAUUCCUACCUGAUCCGAGGUCAACAUUUCAGAAGUUGGGUGUUUUACGGACGUGGACGCGCCGCGCUCCCGGUGCGAGUUGUGCAAACUACUGCGCAUGAGAGGCUGCGGCGAGACCGCCAGCUGUAUUCGGGCGGGAUCCCGUCUUAGGGGUUCCCGAUCCCCAACGCCGACCCCCGGAGGGGU
rnacentral:misc_RNA from 1 species